AUUGAACGCUGGCGGCAGGCCUAACACAUGCAAGUCGAACGGUAACAGAAAGCAGCUUGCUGCUUUGCUGACGAGUGGCGGACGGGUGAGUAAUGUCUGGGAAACUGCCUGAUGGAGGGGGAUAACUACUGGAAACGGUAGCUAAUACCGCAUAACGUCGCAAGACCAAAGAGGGGACCUUCGGGCCUCUUGCCAUCGGAUGUGCCCAGAUGGGAUUAGCUAGUAGGUGGGGUAACGGCUCUCCUAGGCGACGAUCCCUAGCUGGUCUGAGAGGAUGACCAGCCACACUGGAACUGAGACACGGUCCAGACUCCUACGGGAGGCAGCAGUGGGGAAUAUUGCACAAUGGGCGCAAGCCUGAUGCAGCCAUGCCGCGUGUAUGAAGAAGGCCUUCGGGUUGUAAAGUACUUUCAGCGGGGAGGAAGGGAGUAAAGUUAAUACCUUUGCUCAUUGACGUUACCCGCAGAAGAAGCACCGGCCAACUCCGUG
rnacentral:rRNA from 1 species